rnacentral:rRNA from 1 species
CAGCCGCCGCGGUAAUACCGGCGGCCCGAGUGGCGGUCACUAUUAUUGGGCUUAAAGCGUCCGUAGCCGGGUUGGGGAGUCCUCCGGGAAAUCUGGCCGCUUAACGGUCAGAAUGCCGGAGGAUACUCCCAGCCUAGGGAGCGGGGGAGGCCGAGGGGAUUCCCGGAGUAGGGGUGAAAUUCUAUAAUCCCGGGAGGACCACCUGUGGCGAAGGCGCUCGGCUGGAACGCGUCCGACGGUGAGGGACGAAGGCCAGGGGAGCAAACCGGAUUAGAUACCCGGGUAGUCCUGGCUGUAAACGAUGCGGACUUUGUGUCGGACAAGCUAUGAGCUUGUCCGGUGCCGGAGGGAAACCGUUAAGUCCGCCGCCUGGGGAGUACGGCCGCAAGGCUGAAACUUAAAGGAAUUGGCGGG